rnacentral:rRNA from 1 species
CGUCUUAGCAUGCAGUCGAGCGGCAAGGGGGAGCAAUCCCCCCUAGAGCGGCGGACUGGUGAGUAACGCGUGGGUGACCUGCCUUGAGGUUGGGGAUAGCCGCUAGAAAUAGCGGGUAAUACCGGAUAUGGUUACGGGGUUAUGACCCGGUAAAGAAAGGGGCUUUGGCUCCGCCUGAAGAUGGGCCCGCGUUUCAUUAGCUAGUUGGUGGGGUAACGGCUCACCAAGGCGAUGAUGGAUAGCCGGCCUGAGAGGGUGAACGGCCACAUUGGGACUGAGAUACGGCCCAAACUCCUACGGGAGGCAGCAGCUAAGAAUAUUCCGCAAUGGGGGAAACCCUGACGGAGCGACGCCGCGUGGAUGACGAAGGCCGGAAGGUUGUAAAAUCCUUUUGCCGGGGAAGAAUAAGCGGGGGAGGGAAUGCCCCUGUGAUGACGCUACCCGGUGAAUAAGCCCCGGCUAAUUACGUGCCAGCAGCCGCGGUAACACGUAAGGGGCGAGCGUUGUUCGGAAUUAUUGGGCGUAAAGGGCGCGUAGGCGGUUUUGUAAGUCUGGCGUGAAAAGGCGGAGCUUAACUCCGUCCGUGCGUUGGAAACUGUGAGACUGGAGUCAUGGAGGGGUAGUUGGAAUUCCUGGUGUAGGGGUGAAAUCUGUAGAUAUCAGGAAGAACACCGGUGGCGAAGGCGAACUACUAGCCGAUGACUGACGCUGAGGCGCGAAAGUGCGGGGAGCAAACAGGAUUAGAUACCCUGGUAGUCCCGCACUAUAACGAUGCACACUAGGUGUUGGGCCGAGCGGCUCACUGCCGGAACGAACGUGAUAGUGUGCUGCCUGGGGAGUAUGCCCGCAGGAUGAAACUCAAGGAAUGACGGGGCCCGC